rnacentral:lncRNA from 1 species
CAAUAAUUUUAAAAAUAAGUUUGCAAACUGCAUACAAUCUGAUUUAAAAUCUUUUAACCUGGUUUUAAAAUGUUUGGAGAUCCAAACAAAGCAGAUACAUAAAUAUGAUUUUAUGCAAUUUCUACAGACUUCAGUCAAUUCUAUAAAUGACGAUACAAAUGCAUUACUAUGGACUGUACUGAUGCAGGAUCAAACAUUAAAAAAAGAAGUUUUAAUUACAAAAUAAGAAAUGCUCAAUUUAAAAUGUUUUAAUAAAAGCAGCAAUCGCAAACAAAUUUAUUUGAGAAUUUUGAUACAGGUCACAUGAUUCCACAAAACUACAAUGCUGCUUAAAAGACAGUUUUUAUUUAUACAUGCACAUAAGGUGAUCUUGCCAAACUGGUCAGAUCCACAACCUUUAUCUUGAAAGUUAGUGUUUAUUUAACUCUAAAAUUAGAUGUCAGAUUCACUGCUAUGGAGGUAUACAUCACAAAGUGACAUGCUUAUUAUCUCAUGCCAAGUGCUUGACCUACUUGGAAAUACAAAACAGGAAGUGAAAAGAAGAAAGGGUAGUAUGCUUGGCUCCUAAUAAAACAUCCAUUGUGACAGCGGCUUAGUAUCAAAAUGAAAGAGGCAGAAUUCAAAAUUUAGAGCUUCCAAAGCAGGCAGACCACGAAUUUGUUGAAAUGCCAAAGUAACCAGAAAUGGAGAAAAGUUUGAUCAUUCCAGUUUUAGUGGUAAUGUCAAAUGGUCUGGUAUGUUCAAGUGCAUCACUACAGGUGAUGAAUGUUGAUACUACAAUCUGGAACCUGAAACCAUGGCUCAGUUGAGGAAUUGGUCAUUGCUAGAUGAAAAUCAAAGACCUAGGAAUUUGCAAGAACUGCAAUUACACUUGAAACAAAACUAGAGAGUGAAGUCCCCUUCAGUGCUUGUGCUGGGACGAGCUAGAAAACUUCCAUCUGUUCCCCUCUCCAUCAGAAGUCUCUCUGCAUCCACCCCAUUGAUGUUGGGGUGGAACCACCUACAGCAACAAAGCAAUACCAC